rnacentral:rRNA from 1 species
GCCUAACACAUGCAAGUCGAACGGUAACAGGAAGCAGCUUGCUGCUUCGCUGACGAGUGGCGGACGGGUGAGUAAUGUCUGGGAAACUGCCUGAUGGAGGGGGAUAACUACUGGAAACGGUAGCUAAUACCGCAUAACGUCGCAAGACCAAAGAGGGGGACCUUCGGGCCUCUUGCCAUCGGAUGUGCCCAGAUGGGAUUAGCUAGUAGGUGGGGUAACGGCUCACCUAGGCGACGAUCCCUAGCUGGUCUGAGAGGAUGACCAGCCACACUGGAACUGAGACACGGUCCAGACUCCUACGGGAGGCAGCAGUGGGGAAUAUUGCACAAUGGGCGCAAGCCUGAUGCAGCCAUGCCGCGUGUAUGAAGAAGGCCUUCGGGUUGUAAAGUACUUUCAGCGGGGAGGAAGGCGAUAAGGUUAAUAACCUUGUCGAUUGACGUUACCCGCAGAAGAAGCACCGGCUAACUCCGUGCCAGCCGCCGCGGUAAUACUGCGGGGGGUU